rnacentral:rRNA from 1 species
AAUAAGCGGAGGAAAAGAAACUAACAAGGAUUCCCCUAGUAACGGCGAGUGAAGCGGGAAGAGCUCAAAUUUGUAAUCUGGCCGCUUUGUGGCCCGAGUUGUAAGCUAGAGAAGUGUUAUCUGUGCUGGACCACUUAUGAGUCUGUUGGAAUAUAGCGUCAUAGAGGGUGAGAACCCCGUUCAUGAUGUGGACUACCAGUGCUCUGUGUUACACUUUCAAAGAGUCGAGUUGUUUGGGAAUGCAGCUCAAAUUGGGUGGUAAAUUCCAUCUAAAGCUAAAUAUUGGCGGGAGACCGAUAGCGAACAAGUACCGUGAGGGAAAGAUGAAAAGCACUUUGGAAAGAGAGUCAAAUAGUACGUGAAAUUGUUGAAAGGGAAACGCUUGAAGUCAGACAUGCUUGUGGGGUUCAACCUUCGGGUGUAUUCUUCCACUUUGCAGGCUAGCAUCAGUUCUGCGGGCUGGAUAAGGGCUUGAGGAAGGUGGCAUCUCUGGAUGUGUUAUAGACUCUUGCUUGAUGCAGUCCAUGGGAUUGAGGAUCGCAGCGCACCGUAUGGCAUUGGCUUUGGCCUUUCCUGCGCUUAGGAUGCUGGUGUAAUGGCUUUAAACGACCCGUCUUGAAACACGGACCAAGGAGUCUAACAUGCUCGCGAGUGUUUGGGUGUCAAACCCGGGCGCGUAAUGAAAGUGAAUGCAGGUGGGAUCCGAAAGGUGCACCAUCGACCGAUCUGGAUUUUCUAUGAUGGAUUUGAGUAAGAGCGUGUAUGUUGGGACCCGAAAGAUGGUGAACUAUGCCUGAAUAGGGCGAAGCCAGAGGAAACUCUGGUGGAGGCUCGUAGCGGUUCUGACGUGCAAAUCGAUCGUCAAAUUUGGGUAUAGGGGCGAAAGACUAAUCGAACCAUCUAGUAGCUGGUUCCUGCCGAAGUUUCCCUCAGGAUAGC